CGGGGGGGGGACGGGGGGGACGGAGCGGUUCGCACAGACAAAGGCGGGAGAACUGAAGGUCGAGGCUGAGAGGCCCUCAGCAUCCACAAAGCUUUUAUGUUUCUACAGUAAAUAUUAUUUUAUUAUACUCCACAAGAGGCUUUUGGUUAUUUUUAUGUAAUCUUUCCACCGUCAGGAUGCCGUACUGUGAGCCGAGCGUUGGGUAGAAAAACAAGCGUUUUCUUCAUAAAGUUCGACGCCGGCAGCUUCGUCUGUGACGUAACUGCCUGCAGUCGGGACUGAGGCAGGAGUUUGUAAUGUUUCAGGAAUAAGGUCAUGGCAUUGAAAGGAAAAUGAAACAUCUUUUGCAAGGAAAAAGGUGACUUUAUCCAAAUAUAACCACUUUUGUCAUAAAAUAUUUUUUCCUUCCACUUUAUUCCUGACGUGUUUUGCCCCCGUUCCUCCAAACCCUUUUGAUUUUAUCUCCAAGAUUUUUCUUGACUUGUAUUCUGUGGGUGAAGGAACAAUAUUGAUGUUUUUAAAGUAAAAGAUAUCAAAUAUCCCAGAAAAGAAGUAUGAAGGAACGUUUUCUUUAAUACGUUUUUUGCACGCUUGCUGAUUUCUUUUUUUUGUGUUGUCUUCCUCAUCCAUUUGCCAUUUCAACGAGACAGGUUGAAAUAUGUCAUUCAGGAACAGAUGUUUCGUGUUUUGAAAUACUGAUUUAUUUUCUUUAUACCAAAGUCAUUCAUUUGAGUGUAUUGGAAGUUCCCCGUUUCUGUGCAAAGCGAUUCCCAUUCAGCAUUUAACGAUGUUAGGUCUCCUAGGAGACGUCGCUGCGAGACACUGCCUUUUGACAAAUGCUAGUUUUUCAAAUGUAGGUUAAAUUAUAGCAGAAGAGAAGAGGCAUAAAACUUAAAGCUUAUCGUAAAGGGAAAGUGUGCAACUAGAGAUCAGUACGUGAGUUUUUCUUCUGUUUGAGUCGAGUUUGUUCGUUUGUAAUCUUUUAAGCAAAUGAGUUAGAUGUUUAAUUCGAUCGUCAAAAGCACAAAAGCGUUUUUUUCCAAUAUUUUUGUGGCAUUUUUUUUUUUUUUAAGACAUUUUGUGCGACGCCUUUGUUUUGAUCGCUGCGAUGAUUGUUCACCGUGCAGCAGGAGACCCAGAGCGGAUGUACGGACUUUGCAAUUCAAGCACAAUGUGCAAAUGCUACCAUGUUUUUAGUGGGAGAGAGGCGUUUAUAUACAGAGUAAAUCUUUGUGCUUUAAAGAUGUGUAAAAAAAUAAAAGCAUUUUUCUUAA
ensembl:lncRNA